ACGCUUACAACGCUCUUUCGUUAGAGUCAAACAGAUAAGACCGCGUCCAUAAGUCGCCAUGAAGUUUAUGGCUUCAGGAGUCACAUCCUGAGCAGCCAUAAUAA
rnacentral:antisense_RNA from 1 species